AACGAACGCUGGCGGCAGGCCUAACACAUGCAAGUCGAGCGCGCCCUUCGGGGUGAGCGGCGGACGGGUGAGUAACGCGUGGGAACGUGCCCUUUUCUACGGAAUAGCCUCGGGAAACUGAGAGUAAUACCGUAUACGCCCUUUGGGGGAAAGAUUUAUCGGAAAAGGAUCGGCCCGCGUUGGAUUAGGUAGUUGGUGGGGUAAUGGCCUACCAAGCCGACGAUCCAUAGCUGGCUUGAGAGGAUGAUCAGCCACACUGGGACUGAGACACGGCCCAGACUCCUACGGGAGGCAGCAGUGGGGAAUCUUAGACAAUGGGGGCAACCCUGAUCUAGCCAUGCCGCGUGAGUGAUGAAGGCCUUAGGGUUGUAAAGCUCUUUCAGCUGGGAAGAUAAUGACGGUACCAGCAGAAGAAGCCCCGGCUAACUCCGUG
rnacentral:rRNA from 1 species